rnacentral:rRNA from 1 species
AUUGAACGCUGGCGGAAUGCUUUACACAUGCAAGUCGAACGGCAGCACGGACUUCGGUCUGGUGGCGAGUGGCGAACGGGUGAGUAAUGUAUCGGAACGUGCCUAGUAGCGGGGGAUAACUACGCGAAAGCGUAGCUAAUACCGCAUACGCCCUACGGGGAAAGGCAGGGGAUCGCAAGACCUUGCACUAUUAGAGCGGC